rnacentral:snRNA from 1 species
AGGAGCCGGAAUCUGACUGUGACAUCUGUUACCCCAUUGAUCACCAUGGUUGAUUAAAUUAAUCAGACUGACCAGGCUGGUAUCUUCUUCCUUCCUCACCUCUCUUUGUGUGUCCCACCUAAAUCGCCAUUCUCAGUGGAAGAGCAUGGCAUUCUCAAAAUAAAAGUGUCUGGCCUUCGGUCAAGGAAAUACAAGUUUAGCACUCCCUUGAUUAAACAUAAAAACAAGAUCUCAAGAUAAAAUUAACUGUGCAUCUGUGAAGUGGUGGCAAAAGACAUUGAUCCCAGACUCAGGAGGCAGAGGAAGGCAGAUCUCUGUGA